rnacentral:rRNA from 1 species
GAUGAACGCUGGCGGCGUGCUUAACACAUGCAAGUCGAACGGACAGGCCCUGCUUUUGUUGGGUGCUCGAGUGGCGCACGGGUGAGUAACACGUGAGUAACCUCCCCUUGACUUUGUGAUAACUUCAGGAAACUGGGGCUCAUACCGGAUAGGAGCUCUUGCUGCAUGGUGGGGGUUGGAAGGUUUCGGCGGUGGUGGAUGGACUCGCGGCUUAUCAGCUUGUUGGUGGGGUAGUGGCUUACCAAGGCUUUGACGGGUAGCCGGCCUGAGAGGGUGGACGGCCACAAUGGGACUGAGAUACGGCCCAGACUCCUACGGGAGGCAGCAGUGGGGAAUAUUGCACAAUGGGCGGAAGCCUGAUGCAGCAACGCCGCGUGCGGGAUGACGGCCUUCGGGUUGUAAACCGCUUUCGCCUGUGACGAAGCGUGAGUGACGGUAAUGGGUAAAGAAGCACCGGCUAACUACGUG